ACAUUUAUAGAUUAAGAAAGAGAAUAAAGAGACAAAUAUUAUAACAUAAGAAAAUAACAUGAUUAUAAAACUAAUAAAAUAUUGUAUGCGUAAAAUCAGUUAAUAGAUGUACACACACGGUAAUAAAUAUGGCAUAAAAUUUUAUUGAAAUAGAUUAACACACAUCUUACUAUUUUAAUAUUUAUAUAUGUACAAAAGUA
rnacentral:lncRNA from 1 species